rnacentral:rRNA from 1 species
UACAGAGGUGGCAAGCGUUGUUCGGAAUUAUUGGGCGUAAAGCGCGCGCAGGCGGUCUCUUAAGUCUGAUGUGAAGGCCCCCGGCUCAACCGGGGAGGGUCAUUGGAAACUGGGGGACUUGAGUGCAGAAGAGAAGAGUGGAAUUCCACGUGUAGCGGUGAAAUGCGUAGAGAUGUGGAGGAACACCAGUGGCGAAGGCGACUCUUUGGUCUGUAACUGACGCUGAGGCGCGAAAGCGUGGGGAGCAAACAGG